rnacentral:rRNA from 1 species
GACAGAGGAUGCAAGCGUUAUCCGGAAUGACUGGGCGUAAAGCGUCUGUAGGUGGCUUUUUAAGUCUGCCGUCAAAUCCCAGGGCUUAACCCUGGACAGGCGGUGGAAACUACCAAGCUGGAGUACGGUAGGGGCAGGGGGAAUUUCCGGUGGAGCGGUGAAAUGCGUAGAGAUCGGAAAGAACACCAACGGCGAAAGCACUCUGCUGGGCCGACACUGACACUGAGAGACGAAAGCUAGGGGAGCGAAUGGG